rnacentral:rRNA from 1 species
UACAGAGACUGCAAGCGUUAUUCGGAUUCACUGGGCGUAAAGGGUGCGCAGGCGGCCAAGUGUGUUAGGCGUGAAAGCCCGGGGCUUAACCUCGGAAUUGCACCUAAAACUACUUGGCUAGAGCAUUGGAGAGGGUAGCGGAAUUCACGGUGUAGCAGUGAAAUGCGUAGAUAUCGUGAGGAACACCAGAGGCGAAGGCGGCUACCUGGACAAUUGCUGACGCUCAGGCACGAAAGCGUGGGGAGCAAAAAGGG